rnacentral:rRNA from 1 species
AACGAACGCUGGUGGCGUGCUUAACACAUGCAAGUCGUACGAGAAAGCCUUCGGGUGAGUAGAGUGGCGCACGGGUGAGUAAUGCAUAGGAACGUACCUCUUGGAGGGGGAUAACCGUGGGAAACUACGGCUAAUACCGCAUAGUCUCGCAAGAGUAAAAGUGGCCUCUGUUUCAAGCUACUACCAAGAGAUCGGCCUAUGUCCCAUUAGCUUGUUGGUAGGGUAACGGCCUACCAAGGCGACGAUGGGUAGCUGGUCUGAGAGGAUGAUCAGCCACACUGGGACUGAGACACGGCCCAGACUCCUACGGGAGGCAGCAGUGGGGAAUAUUGCACAAUGGGCGCAAGCCUGAUGCAGCAACGCCGCGUGAGCGAAGAAGGCCCUUGGGUCGUAAAGCUCUUUCGACUGGGAAGAAGGGUGAUGUAGUUAAUACCUGCAUCAUUUGACGGUACCUAAUGAAGAAGCACCGGCUAACUCCGUGCCAGCCGCCGCCGUAACAC